rnacentral:tRNA from 1 species
GCUGGAGUGGCGGAAUUGGCAGACGCGCUACGUUCAGGGCGUAGUCCUCGUUCGGGGGUGUGGGUUCGACUCCCACCUUCAGCACCA